rnacentral:rRNA from 1 species
CUCGCGGGUCGAUGAAGAACGCAGUUAACUGCGCGUCAUAGUGUGAACUGCAGGACACAUUUGAACAUCGACAUUUCGAACGCACAUUGCGGUCCGUGGAGACACAUCCAGGACCACUCCUGUCCGAGGGCCGGCU